AUUGAACGCUGGCGGCAUGCCUUACACAUGCAAGUCGAACGGCAGCACGGGAGCAAUCCUGGUGGCGAGUGGCGAACGGGUGAGUAAUAUAUCGGAACGUGCCCAGUGGUGGGGGAUAACGUUCGGAAACGGACGCUAAUACCGCAUACGUCCUACGGGAGAAAGCGGGGGGAUCUUCGGACCUCGCGCCAUUAGAUGAGCCUAGGUCGGAUUAGCUAGUUGGUGAGGUAAUGGCUCACCAAGGCGACGAUCCGUAACUGGUCUGAGAGGAUGAUCAGUCACACUGGAACUGAGACACGGUCCAGAACUCCUACGGGAGGCAGCAGUGGGGAAUAUUGGACAAUUGGGGCGAAAAGCCUGAUCCAGCCAUGCCGCGUGUGUGAAGAA
rnacentral:rRNA from 1 species